CUGAGAGUUACAGUAAUGUAGCAGAGCUGGGAAUAGGCCUUUUGCUAGACACUACCACUGACUCGAACUUCCCAAUCAAACCAAACCAGUGGUCGGCAGGAAGUGUCUGCUCUUCACAUCAGGCGUCAGGAGAUCAUUACAGGAACCUCAUAAUUACUGGUCCAAGAGCUCAAAUGAAAAAGUAGAAGAGUUGCUGGGAGUUUGAGGAAGAAUGCUUUCAUUCAGUGGGUGAAAAUCAGGAAGGCAUUGCCUAGAGACGUGGAGGCAAAGCGAGCCAAUCAGGAUUUGGAAGCAGCACUGCGCUGCAUUUCCACCAGUGACCCAUCAUCUUGGAGCACACAUCUCACUUGGGUUGAGUAUGCCCACAACUCCCAGGAAGACCACGUCACUGUGCCUUCAGUUCAGGCCCAUCUCCACUGGUGCCGCAAGGUCUGGAAGGAUGCAUGCUUGACCCCGCUCCGCUCUGCUGACAGCAACUGGAGUAUCGCCGAUCGCCACCGGAUUCCAGCACCCAACUAUCAGCCUGUCCUGAAGAGGAAUGAUCGCCAAGCUGUAUCAAAACAUCUGCAAACUGUAUUUAUGAAUCCCUGAAGCAUUGGUAUCUUAAUCUCACAUCCAGCAUGACAAUUAAAAAUUUCUGCAGGAAAUACCAAAGCUGUGAUAUCAGUCAAUAAAAGCCGAUAUCUCGACUUCACGUCUCAGAGAGUUAUUGAUGGGGCAUCAAUUUUAUUGACUGGAAGUUUUAAAACAUGGAAAGCGUUUUACGUCCGGAAAGAUUGGAUUUGGACCCCCAAGACCCUGAAGCAGCUCUUGCCUUUGAACUCUGGCUUGCAUGCUUCCAAUCAUACUUGGAGAAGGUUAGUGCAACUGAACCCGCUGUUAUGCACCGAAUUCUCCUCUCGAGGGUCACCCCGAAAGUUUACUAACUUAUCAGAGGCCUGCUGACCUACGAAGGGGCACUGGACGCCCUCAAAAGACAGUACCUGCAGCCGGUGAGCACGGUCUAUGCAAGACAUCGCUUAGCUACGCGACGACAGCGGCCUGCAGAGUCGUGUGCCGAGUUUCUCCGAGCCCUACAGACGCUCGUGCGGACUUGCGAUUGCAAAACACUCACGGCGGAACAGCAUGCGGAGCUGCUAGUAUGAGACGCCUUUGUUACAGGAAUCAGGUCAGUGUAUGUGCGCCAGCGGCUGCUGGAAAAUGCCGAUCUUACCUUACGCUUGGCGAUCGAGACGGCCGACACGCUGGAGGCUGUUCUGCACAAUGCUGAUGCAGUCCAGCCGCGCGAUCCCCCGCCGGUACCGUGGACAUCUCAGACCCUGCCGCCUCCGGUUCCUGUGAGCGAAUUCGCCAACGCCACUGCCAGUCGCGAUUCCACGAACUCCCCGAACCCAACCACAGCUGCUGCCAGUCGCAAGCCCGCGCAGCGUUACUUCUGCAGACUUGAAAAGCACACGCAUGAGGGAUCACUGACACCUAGUGGGCUGACACCUCCAGUUAGGCCGGAACCAGCACAACCACCGUCUCCGGUGCAAUCACCACCGGCACCUGUGCAAUCACAGCCGGUGCUACAUAGAUUGCAGUGACAGAUUCGACCACCUGAUAGACUUAACCUGUAAAUAUACUUGUAAGAAACUUCACUCCAUGGGGACUGUCUUUUAAAACAAAGCGGGGGUGAAUGUGGUGAACUACAUAUACCUGUCUGGACACACCUCCUGCUGACUGCUCCUGUGGCUCCUCCCACAAACCCCGGUAUAAAAGCGAUUGAGGCCUGAGCCUGGCCUCAUUCUCCAGGAUGUAGUAUGGUGUUCAACUACUGCUUGUUCUUUCGUCCAGUCAAUAAAAGCCGAUAUCUCGA